CAGCCACAGCAACAUGGCAUGUAGAAGUCCCCAGGCCAGGGAUCUAACCUGAGCCACAGCAGUGACAAUGCCAAAUCCUUAACCACUAGGCCGCCAGGGAACUCCUGUCACUAGUCGUUUUGAUGAUAGCCAUUCUAGCAAGUGUGAGACUAUAUCUCGUUGUUUUCAUGUGCAUUUUCCUGAUGAUUAUGGUGCUGAGUACCUUUUUUGUAUUGCUGACCAUGCGUAAGUCUUUAGAAAAAUGUCUCUUCAGGUCCUUUGCCCAUUUUAAAAACCAGAUUAUUUCCUCUUUUGCUAUUGAGUUGUAUGAGUUCCUUAAAUAUUUUGGAUAUUAAUCACUUAUCAGAUAUUCGGUUUACAAAUAUUUUCUCCAGUCUUUAGUUGCCUUUUCACUUUGUUGAUCUGUACAGGUCCUGAAAUAUGAGUAGGAGCUUUUUUUCAGGCACAGACUGAAGGAGAGACAUACUUUGGGUGUCCUACUGUUUCUAUUAUAAAUCAUUAAUCAUAAUUUGCAAGUGAUAUUUCUAGUUUGAUAAAAUUAAGUGAAACAAAAAUGUAACAGUUUCAGUACACUAUUUGUUACUAGUGUUAUGAUCUGGUGAGUCAUAUAGAUAAUAAAUUAUUUUCUUUCUUUUUCUUUACUUCCCUUUUUUUUUUUUUCUCUGCUUUUUAGGGCCAAGCCUUCAGCACAUGGAAGUUCCCAGGCUAGGGGUUGAAUUGGAGCUGCAGCUGCCAGCCACAACCAUAGCCACAGCAACAAAGGAUCUAAGCCGCUUUGGCAACCUACACCACAGCUCAAGGCAACACCAAAUCAUUAACCCCUGAGUGAGGCCAGGGAUCAAACCCAAAUCCUCAUGGAUACUAGUUAGGUUCAUUAUUACUGAGCCACAUCCAGAGCUCCUGGUAACAAAUUAUUUUCUUCUGAAGUAUCUUAUGGCUUCUUAAAUCCUGUGAAAGUUUUUCAAAGCCCUUUUGUCAGAAAGACAUAAAUAACUAGUUUAACAAGCAGUCUUCCCUCAAUACAGAAUAAACACAAAGCUUAUAUUUUUCUAAAUGACUUCAAUUCUUCUAUCCAAUCCCCCUGACUCAUCUCUUAAGGAUAUCCCAGUCAGAUCCCAGCUUUCGAAUCAUAUUCAGUUAUUUAAAUUACAGAUAUAACUGAAUCACUUUGCUCUACAGCAGAAAUUAACACAACAUUGUAAAUUAACUAUACCUCAAUUAAAAAAAAAUUCAGCCUCGUUUGACCUAUUUCUGCUCACUCAAGUGCCCCUCCUCCCCAAAGUUAGCCAGUUUGUGGCCUCUGGGAUUGAAAUGGAAAGUAAAGCUCUGUUCUUUUUUUCUUUGUCAGACAUCGUGCCAGACAAGUAUAGUAGGAUCUUCUUACUGCCAACUGUACUGUUUGUUUACAGAAGUCAAUAAACCCAUUAACAUUUUUAUUACCUACCGUUGUAUAUCAUCAACAUUUCAUAAUUAGAAGCAUGUGGUUGCCUCUUUAUAACUUUACAACACUGUUCACUUAAAUAUUUAUUGAUUACUCACUCUGUGUUAAAUACUGUUUUAUAGGUCAAACCAUAGCACAAGGGAAACAUUUGGUUUCAUUUGGCUGUAUUAUAUUUUUUAAGGUUCCCAGGCUAGGGGUUGAAUCGGAGCUGUAGCCACUGGCCUACGCCAGAGCCACAGCAACAUGGGAUCCAAGCCAUGUCUGCAACCUACACCACAGCUCACGGCAACGCCGGAUCGUUAACCCACUGAGGAAGGGCAGGGACCGAACCCGCAACCUCAUGGUUCCUAAUCGGAUUCGUUAACCACUGCGCCACGACAGGAACUCCAGGUCUGAAUUUCUUACCCAAUUCAUUUGUGGCAAAUGUAAGAAAAAUAUUUUUUGAUUUUUAGGGUCUUUGGGAUUUGAGAAAUUUGGUAAAGGACCUAGCAUUAACAACUAAGUUAUAUUACCUAUCCCAUAGUGGUCAGAAUCAUCUUUACUUUGGGAUCUAGAAUUUCAAACAGAAUUCAAAGGAACAUUUUUCAUGUAAAUUUUCCCUACCAGUUACUUGGCAGAAUUUAACACUUACUGAUAUUAUUUGACAUAACCAAUUUCAUUUCAUCUGCUUCACAAAAGGUCUUUUAAUUGAGUUUUCAUUUCAGAGUUCCCCAAAGACAUUUUAAAUCAUUAUGAAAUUUCUGCUAGCCCCUCGAUACAAAAGCUUUUGAUUCACACUUAGAUUUUAUCUUAUACCAUAAAAUUUCAAAAAUCAUAUAAAAGAUUCCUAAACCUUAGUCAUUCUGGUGCUGUAAUCUGAGAAACUUUGUCACAAAAAGUAUCAUUCAGAUUUUACUGCAGCUAACAUACAGUCCUUCAAAUAUCCGUGGCUUAAGCAAUAAAAGCCGAUGAGUAUGUACUUAGCUUAUAGAGAUGUAGUUUGGAAAAGACUUUUGGGAAAGCAAUUAGGCAUCAUGAAUCUAAUAUUAAACAUAUUUAUAGCCUUUGACACAGUAAUCUUGUUUUUGAAUAUAUCAUAAGGAAGAAAUUAGAAAUGAAAGUAAAGAUACAUGCACAAAUAUGUUCCUCAAAAAUGUUAAUUAUAAUAGCAAACAAUUGGGAAAAGCAAAAAGUUUACUGAAAUAGAAUGAUUCAAUAAAUUGUAAACAAAUUAGACAAAAAUAAAUCAAAAGACAUCCCGUUUAUAGAUUGUAAGAAUAAAUACUGUUAAAAUGUCCAUUCUAACCAAAGUAAGCUACAGAUUCAGUUUAGUCCCUAUCAAUGGCUACAACAAAUCAUCUUAAUGUACCCUUAAAGUAUCUUAUAAUUUUAUUUGUCUAUUAUAGUUCAAUAGAAAUUAAUUUUAAAAAUCUUUGCCAUGGGUUUAGUGGGGUGAGAAAAUGACACAAAAUCACAUGUACUGUAAUUAUAUUUUGUUUGUGUCAUUUAGGGAGACCUAAAUGGCUCUUUCAGACUCAGUACAUUGAAGUUGUUUAGUAAAAUAGAAAAAAAGCCUUAUAAUUCAAAAGGAACCAUAAAGGACACUAAAUUGCCAAAAUAAUCUUGAUAAUGAAGAAUUAAAGCUGGGGCCCCCACAUUUUCUGCUUUCAAAACCUAUUGCAAAGCUGCAGUAAUCAAAACAGUAUAGUUCUGGCAUAAAGACAGACAUGUAGACCAAUUGAACAGAAUAGAGAACCAAGAAAUAAACCCUUACAUAUACAUUAAAAUGAUCUUUGAUAGGAGAACCAAGACAUAUUUAGUACAAUGGGGAAAGGAUAGUCUCUUCAAUAAAUGAUGAUGGAAAAACUGGAUAUCCAAAUCCAAAAAAAUGAAAUUGGACCCUUAUAUCAAUCCAAAAAUAAACACGAAAUGGAUUAAAGUCUUAAACAUAAGACCUGAAACUAAAUUCAGAAUUCCUAUUGUGGCUCAGUGGUAAUGAACCCAACUAGUAUCCAUGAGGAUGCAGGUUCGAUCCCUGGCCCUGCUCAGUGGGUUAAGGAUCUGGUGUUGCCAUGAGCUGUGGUGUAGUUCACAGACACGACUCAGAUCUGGCAUUGCUGUGGCUGUGGUAUAGUCUGGCAGCUGCAGCUCCAAUUGAACCCCUAGCCUGGAAACUUUCACAUGCUGGGUGUAGCCCUAAAAAAGAAAGAAGGAAGGAAUGACGGAAGGAAGGAAGGAAGGAAGAAAAAGAAAAAGCUAAAUAAAAUUCCUGAAAUAAAAUUUAGGGGAAAUGGAGUUCUCUUGCAGUACAGAGGGUUAAAGAUUCGGAAUUAUCACUGCAGUGGCCUGAGGAACUUCCACAUGCCCCAAGCACAGCCAAAAAA
rnacentral:lncRNA from 1 species